rnacentral:rRNA from 1 species
UACGUAGGGGGCUAGCGAUGUUCGGAUUCACUGGGCGUAAAGGGUGCGCAGGUGGUCGGGUAAGUCUGAUGUGAAAUCCCGCAGCUCAACUGCGGAAUGGCAUUGGAUACUAUUUGGCUAGAGGGUUGGAGGGGGGACUGGAAUUCUCGGUGUAGCAGUGAAAUGCGUAGAUAUCGAGAGGAACACCUGCGGCGAAGGCGGGUUGCUGGGCUGAUACUGACGCUGAGGCGCGAAAGCCAGGGGAGCGAACGGG